GCCUCUGAGUUACGCUCUAUACCCUUUGUGACAUACCUAUAACUGUUGCUUCGGCGGGUAGGGUCUCCGCGACCCUCCCGGCCUCCCGCCUCCGGGCGGGUCGGCGCCCGCCGGAGGAUAACCAAACUCUGAUUUAACGACGUUUCUUCUGAGUGGUACAAGCAAAUAAUCAAAACUUUUAACAACGGAUCUCUUGGUUCUGGCAUCGAUGAAGAACGCAGCGAAAUGCGAUAAGUAAUGUGAAUUGCAGAAUUCAGUGAAUCAUCGAAUCUUUGAACGCACAUUGCGCCCGCCAGCAUUCUGGCGGGCAUGCCUGUUCGAGCGUCAUUUCAACCCUCAAGCUCUGCUUGGUGUUGGGGCCCUACAGCUGAUGUAGGCCCUCAAAGGUAGUGGCGGACCCUCCCGGAGCCUCCUUUGCGUAGUAACUUUACGUCUCGCACUGGGAUCCGGAGGGACUCUUGCCGUAAAACCCCCCAAUUUUCCAAAGGUUGACCUCGGAUCAGGUAGGAAUACCCGCUGAACUUAAGCAUAUCAUAGGCCGGGGGGGAA
rnacentral:rRNA from 1 species